AUUGCCAGUUGCUACCAGGUAAUGCUGGGCACUCUGGUGAGACUCGCCCCGGUUAACGGGGAGGAAGGUGGGGACGACGUCAAGUCAUCAUGGCCCUUACGCCUAGGGCUACACACGUACUACAAUGGCGCAUACAAAGGGCAGCGAUACCGCGAGGUGGAGCCAAUCCCAAAAAGUGCGUCCCAGUCCGGAUUGCAGUCUGCAACUCGACUGCAUGAAGUUGGAAUCGCUAGUAAUUCGAGAUCAGCAUGCUCGGGUGAAUGCGUUCCCGGGCCUU
rnacentral:rRNA from 1 species